rnacentral:lncRNA from 1 species
UUUUCUGAUGCAGAUGCCACCCUGGAGCAUACCUUACUGUGAGCUUGUGAAGUGGCUCCUAGAACAUAUUUUCCGGCUAAGGUAGAAGAUGUUUCCUAGGGAGGACACCAGAACAGGAGAAAUAAAGUCAUAGAAAAAACAGUUCCUGGACCGGGAACCCAGGCCCAGCCCUGACACUGAGUCUCUCUGCUCCCAUGGACCAGGCACUUUUUCUCUCCAAACCUGUAAUCUAGAAAGUUUCUUUUCUAGUUCUAAAAAUCUGUGAUUCUAGGUACUGUGAAAACAAAAAAUAAGAAAGUAAGGGUAAAGAAAAUGGAGUGGAACGCUAAUAGAUGGGAAUUCAUUCAUUCACUUACUCAUUUAUUCAUUCAUUCUUCCUUUGUAUCUUCUAGCAAGAUGUCAUGGAGCCCCUAUUAAAUGAGAGGCGGGGACUGCUCACUCUCCCAGACAAGGGGGUGAGGAAAAAGGAUCACUAUUUGCUAGCACCAAGUAAAGCCCACCGUUGUCCACUGUGCAGUUAAUUCGGACCAGUGCAGGUAGCCAGAUGACAGACUGAGAGCUGGAUUCACAGGUUCCAUUCACUCAUCUCUAUAUUUCAAUGUGACCCUGAAGCAACAGAGGCUAAAAUAAGAGCAAUAGGAAAAAUCACCCCUGUUUAAAAAUAAAUGAUGAAUACAAACCUCACACCAUAUUGGAUUCCAAAGACCACAGAACUGCCAUGCCAGAACCAAAAAGAUAAGGCAGCAACAUAUACAGGAUAGAGCUUGAACUAGAAAUCUGGGUUGUUGCCCGUGAUCUGUCACCAACUACAACAUUGGUGUAGCUCUGAUCAAGGUACCUUCCAUCUCUGAGUCUUAGUCUCCUGUUCUUUAAAGUCUGGCCUGAGCUUAAACUGGAUUUUCUCCAAGGCCUCUUCCAGGUCUAAUGUUACAUGAUCGGUCGCUGAUAUUAUUCCAUAAGGUAGUAUUCCCUUCUAAAAACAGCAAAACACAAAUUCCUCAAAGCCAAAGGCAACACCUUUGUUUCCUUUGCAUGGCUGAUUAAAUUAAUGCAAACCAAGCAGGCUUUCACCGGAGAGCCUGGGAAAUUGCCGGAUAUUUGGGGAAGAUUACUGAGGUUAGUGCACAGUUGUCUUUGGCUAAGAUGUGCAGUCCUUCAGAGUUUUCUUGGAGUUUUGAUUAAGCAUAAAAUAGAGAAGCUCAAGCUAUGUAGACUCUCUAACCAAAAAUGCUUCUCAAGAAGGGCUCUUUUAUCACUUGCUAUAAGGGAGGUAUAUUUAUUCUUUGAAUCAUUUUUUAUAUCUCCAUUCCAUUCUUUGUGGUCGCAUAAAGCACACACAUCUAUUUACAGCCCUUCAAGGUAAGUACAAUCGUCCCCCUUUUAUAGAUGAGGAAAACAGGACUAACAGACAUGAGCUAAUUGGCCCAAACUGGAAAAUUGAAAUCCAGGUCUUACUGAUUCAAAAGCCUGAGCUUUUCCACAAAAUCAAUGGUUCCCAAGUAAUUCAUUCUAAAACUAAUGCUUGAGACACAUAUGAAUUUGGAGGAACCUUAGGAAUCCCUGUAUUAGCCACACAAAAGAAUAGCAGGGCUUCCUGGGCCCAUGGAAGAAGGUGACAAAGAAUAAAGGUGGAAUAUAAUGUCCGUGCUACAUCACAUAUGACAUGCUCUGACUUAGGACGCUUAAAAUUGGGAGCCUAAUUUUUGGUCUUGCUUCUCUAGCCCAUUAUUUCUAAAAAUAACACAUUUUUACUUUUCUAUAUUUCACAGGAUAUGGCAGAGUCUCCUUGAGAAAAACAAAGCAAAGAUGCUUUGCAAGUAAAUAUAUGCUGAAUGAAUGAAUUACCACAAGUUAUUCAUUCUCUGUUCAUUAAUUAAUGUUGCUUCAUUCAUCAGCUGCAUUGUCCAAUUUACUUUAGCAGACCGGCUGUCAUCAACUCCAGAGAGCUUAUGAAGGGUUGAGAUAAUUAGUCUCAAUACCCUUAAGGAGAAGUGGAGGUACAGUCUUGCUCUCUUGAAGAAUUGCACACUAAGAAACCACAAACCAGCAUCUAACGAGAUGGAAAUUCUGCAGCAGGCUGCCUGCCGCCCGAUGUGCCCAGCAGAGCCGGCUUAAAAUGCAGGAAACACCUGUGGAGCGAUUGACAUGACAAGAACUGAGAUGGGGCAGUUCUGAUACAACUGACAAAGAAUUAGCAGUACAGAGCAUGAGACCCUGCAUAAAGACAAAUGGGAGAAGCCGAAGCGCAAGGUGUCA